rnacentral:sRNA from 1 species
GACAUAAAUUUUUUGUUCUCAUUUGAUGUGUCUUUUGUUGUUUAUGUUGAUUUCUUGGCUGGAUUUGGUUUUCAUGGAAUGAUAAUUAAUAAGAGAUUUUAGCCAUAAAGAAAAAAGUGAGAGCUCUUGCAGGUGGUUGAGGCAGUGAUUGAGAAGCCUCUCCCCUCUUCUCCAUUAGGGUUAAAAAGAAAAAAGGUCGGGAGCAAUGAUUGCAAUGGUGGGUCUCUGUUUUGCCCUUUUGGAUGUCAGGAGGUGGGCCAUUUUCAAACAAACCAAAACAGUCUCUAUUUCCAUCACUUAGCCCCUCAUUGAAGCAUUGGGUUUGGGCCCCAAUUUUUACAUCUGAAUUCCACUUCUAAGAUGCUACUUCAAGAUUAAAAGUUAAAAAGUAUGGAAAAAAAGAAAGAAAACAAAAAUUGAUGUUGGUAUGAUUUAAAUGAUUUAUAGUUUCAAUAUAUGAUGGUAGAAUUGCCUUUUAUUUUGUCAAUAUAUGAGGGCCAACAAAUUGUUCUGCCAAGUGGAAGACAAAGGCCACUAAUGUGAAGAGAGAGAGAGGGCCAAUCAUGAAUGCAAUGUGCUAAUGUAUCUAUCUAUCACAAUCAAAAUUAUUACUUCCAACAUUAUGAAAACUUUGAUUGAAAUCAAUUUUUUUCCUUUUGGGUUUGCUCCAAUUUGUACUGAAAACUUGAAUAAUAUAGGGAUCAUAGAAUAGUGAUUGAGCAGCAGGGGUUAGUGUAUUAUUUGAAAAUUAAUCUAAAAGAUGGUAGGUUGGAAUUAUUAUUUUAGUUUCUUCCUCCUAUUCAUCAAUGUCAACUCAUGCGUGUAUAACAAACGACAAACAAAAUGUGGAAUUGGGUCUUUUCUCGUCUUUUUGCCUGGUCUUAUCCAUGGCUUUUCCUUUUCUUUUUGGAAUUUUGGGGGGUUGAAUCAGUGGCAUGAAAUUCGUUUCCCCUCCUGCUCUGCUAUUAUUGCCUGCCUUUUCUUCGUUUUGACAGGCUCAGAUAUCUCGAGAUUGAUUCAUAUGAAUUUUCCCAAGUUCCUAAACAUACAAAAAAAGAAGAAAAACCCAGCAUUUCCAUGGAUGCCUUGAGUCGUUUUCUUCAUGAAAGGAGUGUAGUAAUAUCUUCUUCAUGGAGGCUAACAUGGAUCCAUUUCAAAGGGUUUUCCUCUGCAGGGCUUACCUUGUCUUUGACUUUGGGUAGGUGAUCAGAUUUGGAACUACAAGUAACGAGGUAUGGCAGAUUCCAAAGCCCUUCACUGACUCGGCAUGAUUUGGAUAUAUGUAGACUUCGUACCUAUCAUUCACAUGCAAAAGAGAGAAAAAAUAUGAAGACAAACUUGUAUCGGACCCUGAUUGAUUCAAUCCAAGGAGGGGAGCUUUUGCAUCAAAAUUAUCAUCAUCUUCAUCACAUCCUCUUACCAUUUAUUACUAGAACUAGUUCUUGUUUUUGUUUUCCUUCUUAAAAAUAGAUAAAAAGAAAGAGAAUUUGGAUUCUGAUGGGCUCUCAACUUUCCCAUAUUCCUAUAAGAUCAUCAUGAUUAAAAUUCCCUCACCAUUCUGUUCCCUGGAAGAAAAGGGAAUCCUCCCUCAGUCCUCACAGGGAUUCUAUGCACACAAAGUCUUGAAUACACUUUUGGCUUUUUGAGAAACAAA